rnacentral:rRNA from 1 species
GAUGAACGCUAGCUACCCGUUUAACACAUGCAAGUCGAGGGGCAGCGGGAUUGAAGCUUGCUUCAAUUGCCGGCGACCGGCGCACGGGUGAGUAACGCGUAUCCAACCUUCCGCUUACUCGGAGAUAGCCUUUCGAAAGGAAGAUUAAUACCCAGAUGGUAUCUUAAGCACGCAUGAGAUUAAGAUUAAAGAUUUAUCGGCUAAGCGAUGGGGAUGCGUUCCAUUAGGUAGUUGGCGGGGUAACGGCCCACCAAACCUACGAUGGAUAGGGGUUCUGAGAGGAAGGUCCCCCACAUUGGAACUGAGACACGGUCCAAACUCCUACGGGAGGCAGCAGUGAGGAAUAUUGGUCAAUGGGCGAGAGCCUGAACCAGCCAAGUAGCGUGAAGGAUGACGGCCCUACGGGUUGUAAACUUCUUUUGUGCGGGAAUAAAGGAGCCUACCUGUAGGCUUUUGCAUGUACCGAAACGAAUAAGCAUCGCGCUAACUCCGUGCCAGCAGCCGCGGUAAUACGGAGGAUGCGAGCGUUAUCCGGAUUUAUUGGGUUUAAAGGGAGCGAUAGACGGGUUUUUAAGUCAGCUGUGAAAGUUUGGGGCUCAACCUUAAAAUUGCAGUUGAAACUGGAGACCUUGAGUACUGUUGAGGCAGGCGGAAUUCGUGAUGUAGCGAUGAAAUGCUUAGAUAUC